rnacentral:lncRNA from 1 species
ACUGCUCCAAGUACGCUGCUCUCUGAAGCAACCUUUCUCUUUCCCCUGGGAGAAAAAAGCCUCCAAGCAGGGUGUAGGAGAGGGCAGAGGGAAUGGCUGCCGAGGGCCCUAGGCCAGCCUUAUUUCUGUGCAGCGGGUUGAAUGGUGUCUCCCAUUCAUGUCCACCUGGAAACUCAGAAUGUGACCUUUUUUGGAAACAGGGUCUUUGCAAAUAUCAUUCAGCUUAGAAAGAGGAAGUUCGUGGGUUGCAAAGUGAGUAAUGGCUGCAUCUGGGAGCUGAUCAAAGGUGGCCAGCCAAGUUGAGUAGCCAGUUCGGUGUAUGAGACUUAACAACACUGGUGGAAGCAGAACCCUGCUGCCCGUGUCUGGGUGGGCGAGAGACUGGGGAAACACGGCCAGGAAGCAGCCCGGCAGAUGGGGGCUGAGCGCACUGGCAGGGGCAGGAGGAGCUGCAGAUCUUUUCUCAGUUGAGCUUCAGAUGAGACCACAGCCCCAGCCAGCUUCUUAAGUGCAGCCUCAUAAGAAACCGUAAGCAGAGAACCAAGAUAAACCAUGCCUGAACUCCUGAUCCACAGAAACUGUGAAAUACCCCAAGAUGCCAAGACCCUCGAGCAAGUAAUAAUGAUGCUUUUCAGACCAGGACUUCAAGCUGCUUCACUGUGAUUAGUCUCCUUUUAGACACAGGAAAACUGGGGUGACUUGAAGGAAUUCUGCUGACAGGUCAAAGGGAGGCUGUGGCCUUCCCGCCAAGGUGACCUCAGGGGUCACAGAAACCUCGGCUCCAUGCUGGGUCCCACUUACCUGGGGGCCAUGGCACAAGGAGAUCCUGCUGGUUUCUGUCCAGAAGUAAAUUGAGUCUCUUGUGGAUGUCUCCAGGGUGUAACCCUGCAGGCUGAAGCUGCCUGUCUCCUGUGGGGGCAAAAGGCAGGCUGAGCACAGAUUCCAAAGGCCCUUUUGUGGUCAGCUCUGACACGAGGCAGUGGAGUGUCAUGGAAUAAGAGGCAGCUUACCCAUCAGAAUGGGGUUUGAGUGCUGUGAGAAUGACCUCGGUUUCCCCAUCUGUAAAAUGAGGAAAAGUAUCCUCCUACAUAGGGCUUAUUGUCUGAGAGCUAAAUUGAUGUAGAAAGUUUAGCACGGUGUAGGUGCACACUCAGGAGUGGUAAACCGUUAGAGUUAUGGCAUCUUUACCAUCAUCAUCAUCAUCAUCAUCAAUACCAUCAUCGACUCAUGAAAAAGCCACUGCCCUAGCAAAGGAGGUCCUGAGAAUUCCAGAGUUCCAGGAUCUGAGGGGGCUAAGAAAACUCACUCCAGGCCAGGCACGAUGGCUCGCAUAUGUAAUCCCUGCACCUUGGGAGGCCAAGGCGGGAGGAUCACUUGAGACCAAGAGUUCAAGACCAGCCUGGCCAACGUGGCAAAACCCCGUCUCUACUAAAAAUACAAAAAUUAGCUGGGUGUGGCUGCCUGUGCCUGCACCUGCAGUCCCAGCUACUUGGGCGACUGAGGCACAAGAAGCACUUGAACCUGGGAGGCAGAGGUUGCAGUGAGCCAAGAUCGCGUCACUGCACUCCAGUCUGGACGACAGGGCGAGACUCUGUCUCAAAAAAAAAAGAAAAAAAGAAAACUCACCCUACACUCCCAGCCCCUCCAGGGCAGUGGCGCUGAUGGAUGAUGUUAAUUCUGCAAAAGCAGUGACGAGAUUUCUGGUAGCAGGUCACCAUUCCCCUGGUUUCCUGAGAACCUUGGUGAAGCAGGCUGGAGAGGUUCUGAGAAACCCACCAUCAAGAAUGCUUGAUGUCGGGCUGGCGGGGCGGGGGCAUUGUGCACGUCUGUAGUCCCAGCUACUCCAGAGGCCAAGGCGGUAGGAUCCUUUCAGUCCAAGAGUUCAAGACCAGCCUGCGCAACAUAGUGAGACCCUGUCUUGAAGUUAAAAAAAAAAAAGGAAUCAAGAUGGAACGUUUUUUAUUUAGUCUCUGAAAGAUCUGGACUAAGGAUAUGUGUUCAUAGCCCCCAAAUGGAAGAUUGAUUUGAAGGGAGUAGGUGUUCUGGAAAGAGGAUGGGUUUGGAGGAAACCUCCAAAUCCUGCAGACCUGGGUUUGAAUCCCACUUCCGCUCUGUCUUAGCUCUGUGGGUAUGAGUGAACAAUGCCACCUUUCUGAGCCUCAGUCACCUUGUUUGUAAAAUGGCCACAGUAAUAGACUUGUCAGAGGCAUUUGAACCAGAGCAACUCCAUCUUGAAUAGGAGCUGGGUAAAAUGAGGCUGAGACUUACUGGGCUGCGUUCCCUGAUGGUUAGGUAUUCUAGGUCACAGGAUGAGAUAAAAGAUCAGCACAGAAUACAGGUCAUAAAGACCUUGCUGAUAAAACAGGCUGCAAUAAAGAAGACAGCUAAAACCCACCCAAACCAAGAUGAUGAUGACAGUGACCUCUGGUCGUCCUCACUGCCACACUCUCACCAGCUCCAAGACAGUUUACAAAUGCCUUGGUAACGUCUGGAAGUUACCCUAUAUGGUCUAAAAAGGGGAGACAUGAAUAAUCCACCCCUUGUUUAGCAAUAAUCAAGAAAUAAGGCCAGGCACGGUGGCUCAUGCCUGUAAUCCUAGCACUUCGGGAGGCCGAGGCAGGUGGAUCACCUGAGGUCAGGAGUUCAAGACCAGCCUGGCCAACAUGGUGAAACCCCAUCUCUACUAAAAAUACAAAAAUUCUUUGAUUCCUUUACUUUCUUAAUAAACUUGCUUUCCCUUUAUGGACUCACCUUGAAUUCUUUCUUGCAGAAGAUCUAAGAACCCUCUCUUGGGGUCUGGAUCUGGACUCCUUUCCUGUAACAGACCCGCUUGGAUGACAUACAUCAGAUGCAGGCACACAGUAGGAGGCUUAAAAUAGUGGCUCUGUUGGUUUAAUCCAUUCAAUCGGCGAGCAAACUGGUUUGAGACCAUUGAAAUGAUUCUUGACAGUGAAACAGGGUGUUUACUCAGGCCACAAACAUUUACAAAGAACCUAGUAUGUGCCAGAUCCCAGGAACUCCAAGGGGAAUGAAACAGGACCCCUGUCUAGUGGGGAGAGAAGGAUCCAAGUGGAGGAGGCGAAUGUCUUCUGAUCGCAGGCCCCCAGGAGACGCCUCUCAGGCAACAAGCAGAGGGUGGCGUGCUCCUCUAGGGAGCUUCCCUGGCAGCUGGGCCUCCAGGGAGAGUAGACCCACCCACAGAGUCUCGAGGGACCUGCCAUGGUGGUCCUCAGAGACACAGGAUGACAGUGACAGGCUUUCUAAGCCCAGAAACAAAACAAUAGAAGAAGAAAAACAUUGCUGAGUUGUCCAUUGGGAGGGUGUCCUGGAAAGAGAACUGCGUUUAGAAACAUGGACAUGCGGUAGGGGGCCGGGUGCUGUGGCUCACGCCUGUAAUCCCAGCACUUUGGGAGGCCAAGGAGGGCGGAUCACCUGAGGUCAGAAGUUCAAGACCAGCCUGGUCAACAUGGUUGACCAUCUCUACUCAAUAUACAAAAAUUAGCCGGGCGUGGUGGCGGGUGCCUGUAAUUCCAGCUACUCGGGAGGCUGAGGCAGGGGAAUCUCUUGAACCUGGGAGGUGGAGUUUGCAGUGAGCCAAGAUCGCGCCAUUGUGCUCCAGCCUGGGUAACAAGAGCGAAACUUCGUCUCAAACAAAAAAAGAAAGAAAGAAACAUGGACCAUGGAUGUGUGGCCGGGCACGGUGGCUCACGCCUGUAAUCCCAGCACUUUGGGAGGCUAAGAUGGGUGGAUCACCUGAGGUCAAGAGUUUGAGAACAACCUGGCCAACCUGAGGAAACCGUGCCUCUGCUAAAAAAUACAAAUAUUAGUCAGGCAUGGUGGUGCAUGCCUGUAAUCCCAGCUACUCCGGAGGCUGAGCUGGGAGAACUGCUGGAACCCAGGAGGCGGAUGUUGCAGUGAGCCGAGAUCGCGCCAUUGCAUUCCAGCCUGGACGAUAAAUCAAGACUCAGCCUCAAAAAAAAAAAAAAAAAAAAAGACACCAAAUUGGAUUUAGGGCCCACCCUAAUCCAGUAGGAUCUCAUCUGAACUAAUUACAUCUAGGCCUUAUUUCCAAAUAAUGUUGCAUUCAUCAGGGAUGAACAUGAAUUGGAGUGGAGUGGGGCAGCAGAACACUGUGCCACCCUAUACACCACCCAAGCAUGGGAGUCAUAAAGCCCUGGGUUCAAAGCCCAGCUCUGACACUAGUGAGUGGUGGAUUUGGGGUAGACUUCUUAACCUCUCCAGGCCUCUUUUUCCUCAUCAGAGAAGUGGGGGAAUAGGUCAGGUGGAGUCGCUCAUGCCUGUAAUCCCAGAACUUUGGGAGGCCAAGGCGGGCAGAUUACUUAAGGUCAGGAGUUCAAGACCAGCCUGUCCAACAUGGUGAAACCCCGUCUCUACUAAAAAUACAAAAAUUAGCUGGGUGUGGUGGUGCACGUCUGUAAUCCCAGCUACUCGGGAGGCUGAGGCACGAGAAUGGCUUGAAUCUGGGAGGCUGAGGUUACGGUGAGCCCAGAUGGCACCACUGCACUCCAGCCUGGGUGACAGAGCAAGACUUUGUCUCAAAAAAAAAAAAAAAAAAAAAAAAAAAGAAAGGAAGAAAAAGAAAAAUGAGGGAAUAAUGCAUGCCCAGCAGGGCUGUUCUAAAGAUCCGACGAAUGUAUGUAGAACACAUAGUAGGUUUCAUAAAACAGAAAAGGUAAUUGUCUCUAUUCCUGGAAG